AUAUGACGAAGCCACAAGAAGCUUUUUUUAAUUUUACGAGGUCUUUUUUUAAGUGGUCUUGAAUGUGCAUGAAUAUAGUGCAUGUGUUUGUCUCUGUGUGUGUUCUUGUGUGGUUUGACUCUGUCUUUUCUUGAUUCAGGUUUGUUUUCAGAGAGAAGCGAAUGUAAUCCAGAUGUCAAGGGUUGUCAGAGCAGCGUCAAAGGUCAAAAGACAAAAGCUGGUGGUCAAGUAGCCUCACUGGGACUCUGUGAAAAGUCAAGUGUCUCCCUGCCUUCUCCAACCAAUGAAGAAAUAUUGCAAAGACCUCCAUCAUCAGGAGUAAACAAACACACAAAAAGACACACACCAGAGGACAAAGUGAAAGCUACAACAGCCUGUGGUCAUACACACAAAUGUCUGCCACCUACGAAGACACACACACACCUCUUCAUGAUGACCCCGGAUAAACAUUACCGGCCUCGGGUGCAUGUCCAUGUAAACAAACUGGCAAGGACAGC